CCCUUAGAUGUCCGGGGCUGCACGCGCGCUACACUGAAGGAAUCAGCGUGCUAGAAAACCUUGUUUGACAUGGCUAGGUAACCCGUUGAAAAUCUUUCGUGAUUGGGAUCGGGACUUGCAAAUGUGUCCCUUGAACGAGGAAUUCCCAGUAAGUGCGGGUCAUAAGCUCGCGCUGAUUACGUCCCUGCCCUUUGUACACACCGCCCGUCGCUGCCCGGAACUGGGCCGUUUCGAGAAGACUGGGGACUGCGAACUUUGGGCUGGAAAACAGCUUUUUGUUUGUGGAAACCACUUUAAUCGCAGCGGCUUGAACCGGGCAAAAGUCGUAACA
rnacentral:rRNA from 1 species